AAUAGAGACAUUGAGAAAAACUUUGGGUUGCACAGCCACUCCCCUUCUUGUCAUUUCCUUAUGAUUUUUUUUAAUAUGUGGGGGGGGGGGCAAAUGCCCCCAGUGCCCCACCCCCUGCUAUAGCCGUGAAACAGGAGUAGCUCCGUGGAAACACAGGUAUGAGUGGACCCGUGAAAAUAUGAGUAGCUCCGUGGAAACACAGGUAUGAGUGGACCCGUGAAAAUAUGAGUAGCUCCGUGGAAACACAGGUAUGAGUGGACCCGU